CUCGCACUCGGCCGCCGUCGGCGCGGCUGCCGACGCCGCAUUAUAUAGCAAGUGGCGGGGCCGUGACGUCGACGCUCGGCGCCCCACCUCCCCCGCGCGGCCAAUCGGGGCCGUGCGCCGCUUAAAGGGGCGAUGCCGCGGCUCAGGCGCUGGCGCGGGGUCCACCGGCGUCGCGCGGCCCGGCGGCGCCGCCGCCUUUGUCUCCGAGGGGGAAGAUUCUGGGCCUCGGAGGCCUCCGCGCCUUUGCUGUGCCCAAUCAGAGCGGCAGCUGCCGAGCCUCCCCCGGAGUCCUGACAUCGAACUUUUCUGUGAGGUGUGCGGGCAGCUCGGCCUCGUUCCGCCCAAACCGCAGGCGGCGCCGCGCCUCGAGCGGGGUUUCCCGUCGUUUCCUGCCCCGGGGAGGGUUUGGCGGGUGUUCCCCGUCCGCGUGGCGGCCGCCGCGGGGUGACCGGGUGGCCGCAGACUCCCGGCCAUGGCGAGUGGAGCCUUUGCGAGCAGGAGGCCCGCGCGCACCGUAGGCCUGCGGGCCGAGGCGUGGGAGGGACCGCAAGGGACGGUGCGGACAGAGUGGGGCAGCACGGGACAUUAAGAGACGGUGUGGGGCGUCGAGGGACAGAGUCGCACACCGUGGGGCUGAGCGGCACAGCACGGGACAGGGUGGCCACCCUGGUGAGGGCCUUUCAUGAGCCCUCCUAACGCGGGUCUGCCCGGCCACCUCUCCUCCGACCACAUGUUUGAAAGUCAAGGCCAGGCCCUGGUGGCCGUUGACCCGUGGCUUCCAGGAGGAGCACCCCCAGCCCCAACCGGGCCUCGCCUUCCGUCUCCGAUCUCGAGUUUACUUAUUAGACCCACGCUGCUCUCCACAUCUCCGGGCAUCCGGGUAGCCGGCGAUGCCCAAGGACAAAACACCAGCUAGCCUGCAGGAGGAGGCUUCUCCCCUGGAAGGUGAUGCAACUUAGGCUUAUAGUUUAACCGAAAAAUAAAUAAUACAAAUGAUAACAAACCAAGAGUAACUAAAGUAAGAAAAAAAGCAAACAGACAGAAACCCUCCAGUUUUAACCGGAACAGUCCCCUGAAUGGUACUCUCUCUUUAAGUAGAGGCCACAGACCUCCGGCUGACCUCCUUCGCCUUGGAGAGCCCCUUCUUGGUUUCAGCAGUUGUGCCCGAGAGUUACACAGUUAGCACUACCUAAUUGGGGGAGUUUAACACAUAGAAUGAGAUUCUGACCUCAUUAUCAGGUUAACUAUUAACUUACGCACUCCAUGAAACGAUUUUCCUUUUCUCCCCUGUUAUUCACUUACAUCCUUUUAAAUCCGAUUCAAAGGCCCAGUUUUGAAUUCAAGGGCUUCACGCACACACACAAAUCUGAAGUAUCCCUUUGCCCUCUCUCAGUUGCAAGACAAACCCAUGUUUAGCAGAGAGCUCUCCUCUCCUUUCUGAUGGGCUUUUUCUGGUCUAUGGGGGCUCUGGGGUCAUAGGGCCUGAGUCGGGUCAACCAACUUAUGGUCUUCUUGCCAUUGAUUUAGUUAUUAUUUUAGGAUGAUGGAAAUCGGUUACAACUACUCUCUGGCUUUCUUCACCAAAUUAGGCUCUUUGCUGUGCGGAAACUCCAGAUCGUUCUCCCCCAUUUUGGUGUCAUUUAUGUUGAAGACUUAGCCAUAUGCUGUUAUCAGUGUAUAAAAAGAACUAGCCUGAGAACUUGCCAGAGAACAUCUUUUCAGGCCUCACAGUGCAGAGCGUUUACUGAAUGGGGACCUAGAUGAACUCAAGUUUCAUCCGAAAGGAACCCUCGUUACGCUAAUUCAAGCCACUACAAUACAGUUGUAAUUUGUGCUUUGGCCUUAUUGGCAUGCUUUUCCAUUCCCCUAUUCAUUAACAGCGAUAAUUGCCAGAGCAACCAUCAAACACACCCCUUCUUUAGAGAAAGAAGAUCCACGGGAUACUCACUCUACGGUUGUCAACCGUAUGGUGUCCCGUUUUGGGAAGCUGUCAAAAAUCAAAAAAUCACUGACUUCAUCUUGAGGUUCUUCGGUGGCAUGAUGGCUGCCCGCAGCUCUGAGCAUUUCGCAGGUAGCGGUACCAGUGUCCGUCUAUAAGACCAUAAGCCCGUCGAAGUCAGGGCCUUCUCUCAUCCAUCACGAUGCCCACAGAUCCUGGCGCUGUGUCCAUAGGGACAGUAAGUAGACAAGUGGAAGUAUUUCUCACGAGCGAAGACCCGGAUGAGGCAUUCGGUCAGACAGCAUGACACGUCAAAGGAUUCUGCUGGGCACUUACGCUGUGUGGGAAAGUCAGCAGAUUGAAACCAGGUUUGGGGUCCAGAAGGCCAGUCUUAAGUCCUAGUAGUCUCACUGCUUAGCUAUAUUAUCACCAAGACAUCCCUGUGCUAUCGGGAAGCGUGCUAUCGCUUCUCAGCUUCGGAGAGUGACAACCUCUCUGUGCUUCAGUAGCCUCACUUGAAAAAUGGAGCAAAAAACACCUUCAAAUGCCUUAUCUUCUUCAGCCACGUUAAGACGCGGUUUGGGUUUUUGUUCACGGCGCCAUAAGCAAAUGCUGUAAAGCGUUUGGUUUUCGUUUUCCUGAAAAAUGACAACAUUAAGAUACUUUGCAGCAUUUCUCAAAUGAUGGGUAAAAUUGUAAGAAGAGCCUUGUCCUUUUUCUCUUGGCUCAUCUGUAACUCCAGACUUCCUGUUUGUUCGGGUUGUCGGAUGGCUUGGAAUCCUGGAGGUUGGAGGGAAGCCGAGUACCUGAAUAAGGCUAAUGACUUUGUAGAAGCCCAUACUUCUUGCCUAGUGCUCACCUCCCGCUACCACUAGCCUCGCACAAGCCGCUGUCAUCUCUGGCCUCCUAACGUACUUCCCCUUCUUGCCUCCAGCCCACUUUUCACAGCACAGAGCAGACGUUCCCCGAAUGCACAUCUGAUCGUACUCCUACUGACCGAGAGCCCUUCGGGAGGCGCCCCCGGCUGGCCAGGGCUCUUUCUCAGGCUCCUUCUCUUCUCUGUCAGUCUGUCUGUCUCUCUCUCUGUCUGUCGCACUCUCUCUGUCACUUUCAGUUCUUCCAACCAGCUGGACUCAGUUCUCUCCACCCCAGACCUAGUUCUGCUCUUCCUUCUGCAUGGAAUAUUCUCUUCUGUCUUUGCCUGGCCAACUGUACUAUCGUUCGGGUCUCAGUUUUAAUGGCACUUCUUGGUGGUGGGCCUUUCCUGACCCCCUAGACCAGACUGAGCAUCCUUGUGAUGUGAUCCUGACUCUUCCUCUGGCCUGCCUCGUUCCGUAGAGCUGUCUGUAAACUCCAUGAAGGCAGGAGCAAGCUUCUGCUGUUCACCUCUGCACCUCCAGGACCUGCCGAGUGCUGUGUGCCUCGCGUAGAUGGCGUGCCUCAGGUAGGAGUGUGCCUGUAAUGGGUUCAUUUUAAUAGAAAGGGUAGUUCCAGGGUGCCCGGGUGGUGCAGUCAGUUGAGCGUCUGACUUCGGCUCAGAUCAUGAUUUCACGGUUUGUGAGUUCGAGCUUCGCAUCGGGCUUGCUGCUGUCAGUGCUGAGCCUGCUUCCUGUCAAAUCCUCUGUCCCCCCUCUCUGCCCCUCCCCUCUCGUGUUCUCUCAAAAAUAAAUAAAACAUUUUUUUUUUUUUUAAAGAAAGGAUAGUGCCACCUAGCCAAAGCUAUAUCAUUUACUCUUCCACUGUGGUGCUCAUUAAUUCAGUUGUUAAUCCUCUACUCUGCCCGGCACUGUUCUGAGGGCGGGGCAUACAGCACUGAACAACACAGCUAUAGAUUGAGCUGGAAGGACAUUUCAGGCAGAAGGGAAGCCUGCAAAGCAGGUGGUUUCAAGGAACAGCUCGAAGGGCGGGCAGGAGGCUGGAGAACCAUGGGCCAGGAGAAGGAGGAAGGAGUGAGGACUUUGAACUUUACUCAGCCGGGGGUCUGAGCAGAGGAGGCAGGGGAAAUCCAACUGACUUACGUUUUAAAAGGAUCCCUCUGACCUAUGUAUAGAUUACUGACUCAAGGGAGAUAAGGCAGAAAGCCAGGACGCUAGUUAAGGAAGCUUUUCGAAAAUCCAGGCGGAAGGAUGUCAGUGACUUGACCCAGCAGCUAGUAGUGGGGGUGGUGAGAAACAGUUCACUUCUAGAUCUGUUUUGAAGGAAGGGCCAAGAGGAUUUGCUGCUGGGCUGGAUGUGGGAUGUGGGGAAAGCGGGUGGCAAGGAUGGCACCCAGGGGCUUUGGCCUGGGUGACCAGAAGGAUGGAGCUGCCGUUAAGGGGACGGGCAGGUGGCCGGUAGAGCAGGUUUCGGGGGACAGAUGAGGAGCUCAGCUUCCACAUACUUAAGAUGCCUAUUAGUUACCGGCAUGUUUUUGCGUCCUAAAGUAAUGCAUCUAAGAUGGCAAUUUUCUUUAAUCUAUAUGUGGAAAUAAUGAAAUACCAUACAUUCCCCCCCCACCCCCCCACCCCCGAAAUGGAAACGCAAGAUUGCCCUUUUCUGUAAAAUUCUAUGCCUGGCCAUUUCCUGUGCGGGUGCACUAGGAUUCCAUGUUUCUUAGAGUAGACGUCAACCCGGAUCCUGUUUUAGAACCAGUAGAAUUGUGCACCGCUGAUGUUUGCUUCACUGUAUAAGGUAUUUAUUUGCUUUUUUUAAAAGUUUAUUUAUUUUGGGAGAGAAGGUGUGAGCAGGGGAGGGGCAGAGAGAGAGGGAGAAAGAAAGAAUCCCCAGCAGGCUCCGAGCUGUCAUCGUGACCUGAGCCGAAAUCAAGACCUGGAUGCUUAACCAACUGAGCCACCCAGGCACCCCUAAGAAACUUAUUUUUAUAGUAAGCCUGUUGGGGAAAAAAACAGGUAACUUACUCUAUUUCCAUACCUGAGUAAAAUGAUGCUAAGUACAAUUUAUCCAAUGACUGAGGUCUUGGGUCACCACUUAGAAUAAGCAGCUGCCCGCUGGGCACGCUGAGGGCCUCCUAUGUGCUGGUAGCUCUCCUCACUGUCACCGUGACAGGUAUGUGAGGUCCCUUGGGUGAGUUGGAGUUUUUGCCAUGGUGUUCGCUCAUUCUAUCCUUCCCGCUUUUUUUCCUUGUGUCCGCCCCCCCCCCCACACACACAUACACACAGAUGAUAUUUUUAGCACACUUGCUUUCCAUUUCUGUUCUGACUGUUGAAAUACCUUUUUCUUUUCCUUUCUCUUCUCCUUGCCUUCCCGGCGAGUUCCAAUGAGCUGAGGUUGCCAUAUGUGAUUUUUAGAUAAGUGGGCUGUUACUAGUUUUGCAUUUUCCCUUCUGCAACUUUAACUUUUUGCCUGAACUGCUGGGGGCCAUACUUACAGGCCAAGGGCCGGGUUGAUGCUGAAAAGCUACUAGUGGAUGACAUCUGACAAGAUACAGAUAAUCAAGAGUAUAGUCAUGACUAUGUCUAUGCAGAACUGGUCUGUAUCCUUUUCCUCGGCUAGAUAAGUUUUAUAUACUCCCCCCAAGAAUAGCAUUCUUUUUUUAAAAACAUUUUUAAAAGUUUAUUUAUUUUGAGAGAGAGAAAGUACACAGAAGCUGAGGAGGGGCAUAGAGAGAGAGGGAGAGAGAGAGAAUCCCAAGCAGGUUCCAUGCCGUCAGCACAGAGCCCAACGCAGGGCUCGAUCCCAUGAACCAUGAGAUCGUGACCUGAGCCGAGAUCAAGAGUCAGAUGCUUACCCAACUGAGCCAUCCUGGUGCCCCACCCCCCAGGAAUAGUAUUUUUUACAGAAGAUGCCCCAAUUUGUGUUGUUGAUAACUAACACCGAGUAGAAAGAGCCAUUUCAGAGGAAGAGUUUUCGAAACUGGAAGACUGUGUAUGCCGUGAAAAUUAAUGUUAAUAAAGUCAGAUAUGUUGCUAGAUAUUUGUAUCCAGAAAAAUGGAUUUAUCACUGAGUUAACUUAAAAAAUUUUUGCCUGGUCCAAAAAUUACUUUUAAUUCUAACCACCGAAUGAUAAAGCAUAGUUCCUAGAAUGGAUGCAUUCUUCCAACAGCUGGUUUUCUCGGAUUAUUCAGGAUUUUUGCUGGAAUCCAAGUGGUCUUUCAAGAGAACCGAUGAUUUUCUGAUGAAGCUGUUCACACGCUUUUGAAGCCAGGAGAAGGGGUGAGUAUUAAUUUGCAUUCUCUUCGGCUAUAGAAUUCUCUCUCAGGCCAGCAGUGUUUGAUGAAGUCUGAAUUCCCAUUUCAGUUGUAUAGACAACAAGACUGUAUGAAGGUAUGAAAUUGUCUUGGUAAGACAAAGUAAAAUUGGGCCACCACACAAGCAAACGUGGACAUCACCUGUAUCUGGAGUCUCAAAGCCAUGAAAUACGCAGUGUUUGAAAGGAUACGAGAAAUACAUUGAUUUGAUUUGAUUUUUUUCUUCUUGGCCAUCCUUCGUGUUACAAAACAGUUGAAGCUUAGUAUCGUUUCAAGCACGGAGUGUAAAGUGAUCGGUGAGGCUGCAUGGAGGAAGGGCAAGAGAAAUGAAUUUGAAGGACAAAAAAAAAAAAAAAAAAAACCAAAAAACCACAUAUCCUUCGAAGACCUCCCUGUCUCAAGGACAGAAAAUGCCUUGGCAGUCGCGAUUUUUGUGCAGUCAGAAGGGAGCUGAUUUCCCAGCUGUUCUGGUGUAUUUUCCUUAUUAGUCUUUGCUCCCACGGUCUAAAAGCAAAUACCGGAUCUAAGCGCCUACAGUACUGGUCAAGGACUGCAGCUUCCCUCGUGUGUGACUCACAGGCGCGAGCAAACCACCUACUGUAACAGCUGGCCCCAGACCCUGGCCCGGACACAGCGCAGCAGCUGCCUUGCUGGACCCCUGCUUGCUUGGCUAUUAACUGUCUUAACUGUUGCUCUUACCUUUAUGGGCUGUGGUAAAGGCAGGCUUUAUUUAUUUAUGUUUGUUUGUUUGUUUGUUUUUGAGAGAGAGAGAGAGCGCGCACGCGCGAACAAGUGAGGGAGGGACAGAGAGAGAGGGAGACACAGAGUCCAAAGCAGGCUCCAGACUCCGAGCUGUCAGCACAGAGCCCGAUGCGGGGCUUGAACCCACGGAUGGUGACAUCAUGGCCUGAGCCGAAGUCGGACGCUUAACCAACUGAGCCACCCAGGUGCGCCAAAGGUGGGCUUUAGAUACAUAGACCCUUGGGUCCAUUUUUCCCCAAUUGUAUUUCUCGGUUCUUACUAAAAGAUCUCAGCGGUCACCUGGAAGCGUAAUUUCGAUUUAGGAUGCUAGAAGGCCGGUCAUCAUUUACAACGGCCCUUCAUGUGCUUUUCUGCAUGCGUGAUUACUUUCUUGAUGAACAAAGGUUAUGCUUAGUUUCAGGCUUGGUUAUUAUUUGUUACUAUUACGAUCAGUAUGAGGUGAACCACCUUUAUAAGAACUUGUUUCCUUUUUUUUAAUGUUUAUUUUUGAGAGAGAGACAGAGGGCAGGCGGGGAGGGGCAGAGAGAGAAGGAGACACAGAAUCCGGAAGAGGCACCACGCUCCGAGGUGUCAGCGCAGAUCCUGACGGGGGGCUGGAACUCACAAACUGUGAGAACGUGACCUGGGCCAAAGUCGGACGCUUAACUGACUGCGCCACCCAGGCGCCCCUAUAAGAAAUAGUUUCUUAAAACGGGAUGGCAUCUUGCUGCGUUUCUUUGACUCUCUGCCAUACCUCUCCUCUGCCCAGAGGACCAUUCUCGAGGCUUCACUAGAGAAAGGAAGAGCACAGCACCUGGCCUCAGAAAGCCUCCAAACCAGUUGUGGCUACAGAUUAACAUGUGAGAAUCAAAGAUUCCCAAAGGAAGGCAAAUCAGAUGCAGUUUCAGAGAAAGGAGAGAUUUUUUUUGCGGGGCAGGUCAGUCUGUGCCCCAGUGCUUGUGUCUUGCAGCCUUGUGUUUUACUGGGUAUUAGUGUUGUUUUGCAAAAGUUGUUCUGGAGUCACACGCCAUGCUAUUUUCAUCUUCUGAUCUCCCUAUUCUAGUACAUUCCGGCCCCUGCACGGGACACGACAUUUUACACAUAACACGUGCCAGGUAAACAUUUGCUGACAUAAUUGAAUGGGAGAAGGCUUUGUGGAAAAGGCAGAGCUUGGGCCCAGCUUUAGAUAGAGAGGGGAGGUUGGCCAGUGACAUACUCUGCCUGUAUAUGAGUCAUUUGUUCUGGGCCUUGAGGAAGAACUUGCAAAGUCAAAACAGAGCAGAGACACAUGCCAGGUCGAAAGAGUAACUACGGCAGAGCAGAGGGUUAGUGUAUGAAAUAUGGGGUCAAGGAGGAGGCCUGGCAAGACGUUGUUCUGGAGAAUAACUGGGACGGUAGGGUAGCCAGAUACAACAGCAGGGCCCCUCGGAGGUGCUGUGGGUGGAUGGACACCAAAGUAAUAGUCUUUCUCUCCCUAUCUCAUGCUGAGGACACACUUUUCAUUUGUACCUUAGUGCAUUUAUUGUAGUCUUCAGGGGUGGGCGGGACCUGUCAACGUGAUGUCAUAUUUCCCUUCUUUACAUGCGGAUGUUUUAUUUGUUAAUCAGUUUGUUCUGGAAUUGGUUUGUUUUCAGGAAAGAGGUGGAACGCAUUUUGAAACACCAUUUGAAAAUUGGAUUGAGAACAUUAAAGUUUCUUUUUUUCUUCUUUUCUGUUUUUCCUGGGACCCUGGAUGACUUUAUAGAGAUGCCAUGGAUGAAGAAAAGGAAUUCUUGAAAACUAGAAAGCUACCUAGCUUGGGGCAAAGCAGGAAAAAAACAGCAGGUUUGGGGAAAUGAGUGUUUCUGCGCUGGCAGUAUUGCGGGCCAUCGAAGAAGAGACAGAAAUUGCCAUUUGAAAUCAGGGCUCAAGUGUGAGAGAAGUCAGGGCUGGAAAGAGAUUGAACAGUGGAAGUGGUAGUUAGAAAUGGGGGACAGUGCCUGGGGAGAGCAGGUGGAAUGGAGUUCUUUUUUUUUAAAGUUUUACUUUUGAGAGAGAGAGAGACAGAGUGUGAAUGGGGGAGGAGCAGAGAGAGGGAGACACAGAAUCCGAAGCAGACUCCAGGCUCCGAGCUGUCAGCACAGAGCCUGACGUGGGGCUCGAACUCACAAACCCCGAACCGCGAGAUCAUGACCUGAGCCAAAGUCGGACGCUUAACCGACUGAGCCACCCACGCACCCUUGGAAUGGGGUCCUUAACUGGGAUCCAGAGUGGCUCUGGUGAUUGAAGGUCAGGGCUCUAUAGCCACCGGAAGUUAUAAGCAAUAUUUUCUUUGAGUUUCCACUUGGUAUGUUGGGAUGGAGUGUGUUUGUAACUUUGGUCAGGUUCUUAGAGGUAUCCAAAGGUUAAGAAAUCGCUGAUGUAGAAUGGGAAGAGGAGAGCAAGAAGGUCAGAACUCUGAGGGGAAAUCAACAUUUAAGGAGUUCUCAGAGAAGAGCCAUGGAAAAAGGCCAAAGAGAUUGGGAAGGCAGAAAUCUAUCUGGGAAGUCAGGCGGAUGCGGAAGGCAAUGGAAUGCGUGGGCGCAGGGCAACAAGGUUAAAUGGUAUCUUAAGGUCGGGUAGGGCUAAAAGAAUGUGUUCGAUUGACCAUUAGGAAGUCAUUGGUGACUUUCAGGAGAGCGGUGUAAAUGGAGGCACACUGUGAUAAGUGGAGGAUGGGACUCAGGGAGCCGGGAAGUUAAGUCCAGCUUUCUCUUUCUGGAAGGUUAACAUUUGACAAGAGUGAAUAUUUACUGAGUUCCUGAGAAGGGCUGGAACUUGGCCAUUCACUGCAGACAUAAAUGUGAGCAAGGUAACAUAGGCUUUGCUCUCACGGAUCUUAGGGUCUCGUGGGAGAGAUGGGCAUUAAUCAAAUAAUGUCACAGAGUAAGCAUGUCAUCACAAACUGGGAAGAAAUGUGGUGCCCGGCACUGAAGCAUGACCUAAUCUGGGGUCAAAGAACGACCCCUGAAGAAGUGAGCUUUGAGCUCAGACCUGAAGGGUGAAUAGGAGUGAAACAGUGAAGAGAACGGGGGCAGAGAGCAGAACAUCCUAGGCAAUGAGGGAAGCAAGAAUGAAGUGUACAGAGAGCGAGGGAAGCCCAGCGACAGGAGUCCAUGCUGGGUCUUUUAAAUGAGCAUAAAGAUCUGCGUCUAAGAACAUUCAGGAAACUGCUAACCUGUGGAUGGUUGCGCACGGUUUUGCAUUUCAAAACCAAAUAGAAGAAUCCAGGGGAGGAAUAAUGGUACAACCUUGGACGAGCAUCCUGGCAAAGAAGAUGGAGAGGAGCAGAGGGUUUCAGGAAUCAUGCAGGAGCUGAAAUAGCACCAGAAGGUAGGAGAGAGAACGCUACCUUCUUUCUUAACGAGUGCUUUAGGAGGUCCUGCGAAAAGUAAAGUUCUCCUUCAGGUGCUGAAUACCGAAGCUCAUUUGUAGGCAACGGGAAAGAGUAGUGGAGAGAGCGAGCUCGAAGACAUACAAACCCGGAGGGGACACACGGCUACUAGAAUCGGAAACACUGUUCUCUAAAUCGCGAAGAUGGGGCUGGUGAAUAUACAGGUGUGGUUACAGGUAGAAAGGAGGCAAACCGAGACAUGAAGACUUGGUUCAUGAAGGGGGGCUUGUGUCUGCUUUGGGGUGACGCUGUGACCCCCCGCCCCCAAAUAAUAGGCUAGCAUCAGGCUCUGGAGGAUGAACAGCAAGAAACUCUAAGACAGUUCAUGGAAGGGACACAUUUACCAUUUGUGUACGUGCACAAACACUGUGUGACCCUCACAGUACCUCUUGGAGCCCAUGUUUCAGUUUUAUGAUUAGAAACAGGCAGGGAGCUUUAAAUGUGCAAAUGUCCAACAGCUGUCUCGAGCUGUGUUCAAAAAUCUCCUUUUCCCCCGAAUCCAUGAGGUGGUUUGCCCAACAUUGGGUGGUGGGUGUCGUACAAUAAGGAAAAGCACAAAUCUCAGACACUCGAGUUGUUACUCAGGAGAACCGGAUCAUUGUCUUACAGACAAGGCACCCACACAAGUCUGAAUUUCAAAUGACAUGUUAACUUGCAUUUCAUGCUAACAAUUAAGUCCUCCCAUAGGGACACCAGUGAGGCCAAUCAGUCUUUAAAACUCAACACUGAUUUUGGGGCACCUGCGUGGUUCAGUUGGUUAAGUGUCCGAAUCUUUGACUUCGACUCAGGUCAUGAUCUCAUGGUUUGUGAGUUCAAGCCCCGCUUCGGGCUCUGCACUGACAGCUCAGAGCCUGCUUGGGAUUCUCUCUCUCUCCCUCCCUCUCUCUCUGCCCCUCCCCUGCUUGUUCUCUUUCUCUAAAUAAAUAAAUAAACUUAAAAAAAAAUCAACACUGAUUUUAAGUUUAGUAAGAAAGAUGCAGUGAGAAAUCAUAUGUCAGAUCUCUCAAGUCGAAUGUGCCUAUUUAAUGUCCUAGCUCAGAAAAAGAGAUCGGGUUUUUAGUUGACCUUUAAAAAAAUGAUCUGAGGGAUUCAUGUUCAUCCCUCCCCCUUUCUGAUACAGUUGUGGGAAACUUGGACUCUUUCAACACAUCAGAUCCAACUGCAGAAUCUCCGAGUGAAUCUACGUGUUUGUGACGACUCAUGCUGCAGGGGUACGGCUUUGUCACAAAAUGGCUUUUCUCUCUGCGAGAAAAAUGUGUAACCUCUGAGCAUGGUAGGAACGCGCCAUGUUGAAUUAGAAAUGAGCAGUGCGGUACCGGCUGGAGGAAUAGCUCUGCUUGGCAAUCUUGAAAUAAAUGCAGCUGGGAUAAUUUUCGAUUCAACCCUUGGCAAACCUUCAGUGUGUACAAGAAAAAAAAAAGCUGUGGAGGAGGCUUAACUGCUGUAGGCGCUCAGCAGCCAUCACUCUAUCUCUCGAAGUUUCCAGUAAACGGUAGGUCAGCUCUGCGUCCUGCUGAGGUCUGGUGAGCACUCUGGGAAGAAAUGAUUCUUAUUAAGUGAGUUCAUACGUCUAAUUGCUGAGCACAGGGCCUGGCACACUGAAGUGCUUAAUGAAUAUUAGCUUUUAUUUUUAAAACGUAUUAUUAUUUAGGAUUAUUAACUUCCUAGGGCUCAAUGGGUACCCUGAAGGGUCACGAUUAUGGACCCAAUUUCCUCCUCUACCCGUAUGGUCUCUCAGUUCUAGACUGACAUACCCAGGCUUUAUACCCCACGCCUUCAAAGGAGACCACGUACUGCUGGGAAAGUGGCUUUCAGUUCCAUAGCAGCUCUGAAACUGAUUUCUGUAUUACAAGGUUUCAGGUGAUCAUGGUUCACUGGUAGAAUCAGGGAAGUUCAGCAGCCGACAGAAUCUCCCCCUUCUGGGCCGAUUCCUUUCUGAGUUCCCAGGAGAACUAGGUUUUGGAAUUUUCCCUAAAUGUCUAUCCUCCUAGGGCUGAAUCGAACCUUUGGCGUUUCCUGUUCUACACUGGGAACCAGAAGCUUUCUGAAUUAUCUCAUAGGACAUUUCCUGAUCUGUGAAUCUUUUAGAGCCUGAAGAUCAUGUUUUUCCCCUCAUCAUCUCCUGACUCUCAGUCUCCAAGGAACAUGUGCGUAUUUCAUUACAACUCCACCGUUUCCCGCGUUCGGUGAUAAAUACGUGAGCUACAAGAGUGUACAUUCAUAACACAACACCAAAGGUUGGCAGUACAGAUUUAUGGCUCAUUACAUCAUUUUAGUGUGGGGCUGAUUCACCCAGUCAGUUUAUUUAGCAAUAAGAGAAUAUUAAAGAAGGCAACUGUACCAACCUACACCAGCCCCUGUCUCGGCUGGGUCCAUUACUUCCGCCCUCUCCUAUCAGUGGCUUCAUAAGGUCGAUCUGCGCUCGCAGAGAUAGGCCUUGUCAGGGAGCCAGAGCGGGAGCUUCCCAACAGGCCCUGUCUGUACUCAGGGACUUCAAGAAGCAGAGGACGCUGUGAAUCUAAAAACAUAGCAUUCCUCUCAUAAGGAUUACAUUUUCACUUUUGAGGUUUUGAGUGUUCCUCUCUCUUUUUUAUUUUUAAUUUUUUUAAAUGUUUAUUUAUUUUUGAGAGAGAGGGAGAAAGAGUGUGAGUGGGAGAAGGGCAGAGAGAGAGAGAGGGAGACACAGCAUCCGAAGCAAGCUCCAGGCCCUGAGCUGUCAGCACAGAGCCUGAUGCGGGCCUCGAACCCAUGAACCGUUGAGAUCGUGACCUGAGCCUAAGUCAGACGUUAAACCAGCUGAGCCACCAGGUGCCCCUGGAGUGUUCUUCUCUUGCUAUUGUUUACUCCAUCCUUUGUUGUUCAGAUAAGCUCAUUCUGCCUUCUACCUCCAGAAUGAGGCUCUCUUUCCUGGCACAUCCUGGUCAGCCAGAGUCAUUUUAUCCCACCCUGCCGGUGUCACUCGUCACAAAGCUCUUGACGUUCAAUUAGGAAUAAAUAAGUUACCACCAGAAUCAAAGUCAAGUUGAGUUUAUCAAACAUUGGGUGUUUUCUCAUGGGGGGGGGGGUGAAGGAUGGUGGAAAUAGGUGAUGGGGAUGAAAAGGACACUUACCGUGAUGAGCAGUAGGUAAUGUACAGGAUUGUUGAAUCGCUAUAUUGUACCCCCCAAACUGAUAUCACACUGUAUGUUAUCUGUGCUGGAAUUAAAAUUAAAAAGCUUAAUUUAAAAAAGGGAUGUUUCCAACAUUUUAUUUUUAAAAGCUUCAACUCUACAGACAUGUUGAAAGAACUGUGCAGCGAGCACCCCUCUACCUGUCGCCCAGAGUCCACAGUUAGUAUUUUUAUUUAUUAUAUAACCAUCUAUCCACCCAUCAGCCCAUCUUAUCAUGUUAGCCUUUUGUUUUGAAGUAAUUUUAGAUUUACAGAAAAGUUGCAAGAAUAGUGCAUAGGGUUCCCAAAUACCUUUCAUCAGCUUCCCCCGAUGUUAGCAUCUUACAGAACCAUCACACAAUGAUCAAGUCAACAUUAGAAUGAUCUGACACAACACUGCCAGUAAUAUAACCUUAUUUUUAAGAACCUUUCUAACAGUGAGUUUCUAUUUUUUAUUAAAAAGAUUUUUUUUUUCCAGCUGGACUUUAAAUAAAAACUUGGGAAACGAUGCUGCAACACUAUUAAUGAAUCUACACAUCUUACUUGAAUUUCAUCAAAUUUCCCACUAAGGUUCUUUUCCUGGUGGAGGAUGUGAUCCAGGCUCCCGCCCUGCACGUAGUUGUAGUAUGUUCUUUGUCUCCGGCCUAUGACAGCUCCUCUGUUUCACAUACUCUUGACCCUUUUGAUGUAUACUAGCCAUUUAUUUUUUGAAUGUCCUUCAAUUUGGGUUUGUCUGAAGUUUUCUCAUGAUUACACCAAGACUGCAUU